rnacentral:rRNA from 1 species
GACGAACCGUGCGAACGUUAUUCGGAUUCACUGGGCUUAAAGGGCGCGUAGGCGGGCUCGCCAGUCCGGGGUGAAAUCUUUCGGCUUAACCGGAAAAGUGCCUCGGAUACUGCGAGCCUUGAGGGAGGUAGGGGCAUGUGGAACUUCCGGUGGAGCGGUGAAAUGCGUUGAUAUCGAUAGGAACUCCGGUGGCGAAGGCGGCAUACUGGAUCACUUCUGACGCUGAGGCGCGAAAGCCAGGGGAGCAAACGGG